AGUGAACGCUGGCGGCAGGCCUAAUACAUGCAAGUCGAACGGCAGCACAGUGGAGCUUGCUCCAUGGGUGGCGAGUGGCGGACGGGUGAGGAAUACAUGGGAAUCUGCCCAGUCGUGGGGGAUAACGUAUGGAAACGUACGCUAAUACCGCAUGCGCCCUUCGGGGGAAAGUCGGGGACCGCAAGGCCUGACGCGAUUGGAUGAGCCCAUGUUCGAUUAGCUAGUUGGCGGGGUAACGGCCCACCAAGGCGACGAUCGAUAGCUGGUCUGAGAGGAUGAUCAGCCACACUGGAACUGAGACACGGUCCAGACUCCUACGGGAGGCAGCAGGCUAGAAAUUUGGGCAAUGGGGGAAACCCUGACCCAGUGACGCCGCGUGCAGGAAGGAGCCCUUCGGGGUGUAAACUGCUGUCGUGUAGGGAGAAGGGUACUAAGGUGAACAAUCUUAGUACUUGACGUACUACAGGAGGAAGCCCAGGCUAACCUCGUGCCAGCACG
rnacentral:rRNA from 1 species